rnacentral:rRNA from 1 species
AACGUAGGAGACAAACGUUAUCCGGAGUUACUGGGCGUAAAGGGCGUGUAGGUGGUUUUGUAAGUCUGGCGUGAAGUAUCUCGGCUUAACCGAGGCAGGUCGUCGGAUACUGCAAGACUAGAGGACGGUAGAGGCGUGUGGAAUUCCGGGUGUAGUGGUGAAAUGCGUAGAGAUCCGGAGGAACACCAGUGGCGAAGGCGACACGCUGGGCCGUACCUGACACUGAUGCGCGACAGCAUGGGGAGCAAACAGG